UUACAAAAGACAUAUUGUUAUAAAGUUGGUUGUUGUUAUUGCAGGUAAAAUAUUGUUAUAGAGAAGUAAAAUGUAACAUAAAAAUCGUGAAAAGGUGUUGUUAUAUGCGUAUACUGUUAUAGAGAGGUCUGAUUGCAUCAAUAAAAUUAUAGAAACUAAUUCACUAAAUUCGCUCAACUUUACAUGUUGUAUCAGUACAACCACAAAAUUAAUUUUUGUAUCAUUAAAGUCAACAAAUAUGUAUUAUUACCCAUAAAGUAUAAUUCAUUGGAAAGUCAAAUUUUCGGCACCAAAAAAUAACAUGUCAACAAUUAUUUUAAUUUCCUUUAAAAUAUCCAACUGCAACGAAAAUGCAUUCCUUGAAUAUCUCGUGAAGGACUACAAUUCCAUCCAAAACGCAAAGUUGAUGCUCACUUCUAAUGGGAAACUUUUCAUAGGUGAAUGACACAUAUAUACAUAAUAAGAAAAGUAUUUACGGAAUAUGACGAAACUUUUUAAUUUACAAAACAUAACAGAUUUCUUCUUUCAUACAGAUUAAUUUUCUUAAAAAAAUAAAAAAAAAUCUAACAAAAAGUAUAUUUUUUCCCGCUUAAGGCUUAAAAAAUUCACUCAAACUUUUGUGUAUGAAAAUUGUAUGAAAUGUGUAUAGCUCGCUCAAGGCUUAAAAGUUCGCUCAAAAUUUAGUAUAUGAAAUGUGUAUAUCUCGCUCAAGGCUUAAAAAGUUCGCUCAAAAGUUAGUGUAUUAAAUAUGCAUAUCUCGUUCAAGGCUUAAAUUUUACACUCAAAAUCUAUGAAAACGGUAUGAAAUAUUUAUAUUUGGCACAAGACUUAGAAUUUGCACACAUUCUUUCAUGUAUAAAGUUCGUGUUAGGUUUCUGAAAAAUUAAUACAACUACAACAACAUUGUAUAUAACUUUUAUAUAAUAUUCAAGGCUUAAAAAUUUCGCUUCAGUUAUGUAAUCCAAGUUCUGUCAAAUUGUUGCUCUCCUCUCUUCUUUGGAAUGGCUUGAAUUGUUUGCAUAUCAUAUGUUACUCCACAAGUCGAGACACACGGGUAAUAUAUAGUGCAUUAUUGCAAAUCAAGAAAUAUACAUGGGAUUGCUGACUCUCUGCUUUGAUGGGCAAGAACCAAGUGAUGUUGGAAAUCUUACGGAAAAUACUUGGUCACGAACUUUAUCGGAAAAUACUUGAUUACGAACCUUGCAGGAAAUUCUUAAAAGCUUGAGGUAUGUCAAUUAAGACACUGUUCUUAAGGAUAUUUCACCCGAUAUGAGUGUAUUCCCAGUAUUCAACAAGCUCUUCUAGUACAUAACUAGGAGCUAGAAUCUAACAAAGAUUCAAUAAAAAGAAAACCUAGCACAACACAAUAUAAAAGAGAUAAUACUUCUUUGUAUACAUCAUCCACUAAAGAGAAGGACUACUAACAUAUGUUAUAGAAGAACUCAAAUGGUUGCAGCCAAAUAAUGCCCCAAAGAUGAUUCCCAAGUAACGGUAAUAUAAUAAUAAUAGUCAUUGAAUGUAUUAAAUUGAUAAAUGAGUAAGUACACAUUUAACACAAAUCAGCAAACGGACAACAGUGCCUUUCAAUAGUCAAAUAUGGCUAAUUAAGUAAUGCAGUAAAAACCAAUUAAUAAGAUAUUAAUAGUAUGGAUUUAGGCAACUUUGACCAUUUCUUUUUGAGAUACUAAAAUAAUUUUUUCAACAAGUGAAACAAAAGGUUGUCAACAUUUUUACUAUAUGAAAGUUAUCCCUUUUUUUUUUUUUUUUUUUUUUUUUUUAAAUCUUUCAAGAAAUACCGUCAUCACAACCAUGUGAAAGCUCUUCAGGUAAUGAGGUUAUCGAGAAAUUCCAAUGUAACACGAAGUUGGAUCUUCGCUUGCAAAGAGUUUGAAUUGUGAUGUAGGGUGGUGGAAUUCACGCCACCAAUAAGCAUUUGGAGCUGAGGGUUCCUGUAUCUAAAAUGUUCAAAUAGGUGCUACUAAUUUGGCCUCGUUUGCAACAGUAUAGUCCUCUUGUGCCUAUUAAUACAUAAGUGCAGGACAAAUUUGGUGCAAGAAAAAUGUACUAGUCUUAAUGUGAAUACGAAAGCUGCAGUGUUGCACUCAAGCAACAAUUCCACUAAGAAGAAGUAUAAAGUUGUGAUUGUAUAAGGGGAAGCUGAAAGAAUUAAUCCAAAUGUGCAAGAGCCACUAGGUAUAUGGCUAUCGGCCUCCUUCACUGAUGAGCACACUUCUCCCGUUCCUCCAUCAAGAAUCUUGUAGGGCUCCUUAUCGAUUCCCACAGUUUGAUGCCAAAGUUGAUGGAGGUGCUAAGGAUAUCAACUUUCGUGAAGGUGGCAACUUUAAGUCCAUUGAAUAUAGAAGCGAUGAGCAUAAUGAAGAGAAGGCUGUUGAUUGAAGGUGAUGCCUUGGCAGACAAACACGAAAAAGUUAACUUAUGCGCUGAAGUUUGAGUAGUUACUCUUGACUUUGGUGCAGGAAUCUGAGAGAACUGGACUCGAGAGAAAGUGAAGUGGAAGACCUGACCGGCAAUUGGCUUAGUCAUAUUCCCGAUAGCGACACAUCGCUCAUCUCACUUAACAUUUCUUGUUUGUCGUCUGAGGUCGAUUUCUCGCCUUCGGAGCGUCUAAUUUCCCACUCUCCUAAUUUGAGGACUCUUCGGCUCAACCGUGUCGUGAACCUCGAGAAGCUUCCUAACAUUCUUCGCCACGCUACCUAGUUGGUUGAGUUUGGUACAGGGCCUACUUUGCUGGUAUACAGGCUCAUCCUGGCGAAAUUCAGGUAAACGUGCAUUAUGCUUUUCAAGACUGCUACCAACUAGAGAGAAUGAGUGGAUUUUGGUCUUUUG